rnacentral:rRNA from 1 species
AGCGCAUACGGUGGAUGCCUUGGCAGUCAGAGGCGAUGAAAGACGUGGUAGCCUGCGAAAAGCUUCGGGGAGUCGGCAAACAGACUUUGAUCCGGAGAUGUCUGAAUGGGGGAACCCAGCCAUCAUAAGAUGGUUAUCUUACGCUGAAUACAUAGGCGUAAGAGGCGAACCAGGGGAACUGAAACAUCUAAGUACCCUGAGGAAAAGAAAUCAACCGAGAUUCCCUUAGUAGUGGCGAGCGAACGGGGACUAGCCCUUAAGUGGCUUUGAGAUUAGCGGAACGCUCUGGAAAGUGCGGCCAUAGUGGGUGAUAGCCCUGUACGCGAAAAUCUCUUAGUCAUGAAAUCGAGUAGGACGGAGCACGAGAAACUUUGUCUGAAUAUGGGGGGACCAUCCUCCAAGGCUAAAUACUACUGACUGACCGAUAGUGAACUAGUACCGUGAGGGAAAGGCGAAAAGAACCCCGGAGAGGGGAGUGAAAUAGAUCCUGAAACCGUAUGCGUACAAGCAGUGGGAGCCCACUUUGUUGGGUGACUGCGUACCUUUUGUAUAAUGGGUCAGCGACUUAUUUUCAGUGGCGAGCUUAACCGAAUAGGGGAGGCGUAGCGAAAGCGAGUCUUAAUAGGGCGUCUAGUCGCUGGGAAUAGACCCGAAACCGGGCGAUCUAUCCAUGGGCAGGUUGAAGGUUGGGUAACACUAACUGGAGGACCGAACCGACUACCGUUGAAAAGUUAGCGGAUGACCUGUGGAUCGGAGUGAAAGGCUAAUCAAGCUCGGAGAUAGCUGGUUCUCCUCGAAAGCUAUUUAGGUAGCGCCUCAUGUAUCACUGUAGGGGGUAGAGCACUGUUUCGGCUAGGGGGUCAUCCCGACUUACCAAACCGAUGCAAACUCCGAAUACCUACAAGUGCCGAGCAUGGGAGACACACGGCGGGUGCUAACGUCCGUCGUGAAAAGGGAAACAACCCAGACCGUCAGCUAAGGUCCCAAAGUUAUGGUUAAGUGGGAAACGAUGUGGGAAGGCUUAGACAGCUAGGAGGUUGGCUUAGAAGCAGCCACCCUUUAAAGAAAGCGUAAUAGCUCACUAGUCGAGUCGGCCUGCGCGGAAGAUGUAACGGGGCUCAAACCAUACACCGAAGCUACGGGUAUCACGUAAGUGAUGCGGUAGAGGAGCGUUCUGUAAGCCUGUGAAGGUGAGUUGAGAAGCUUGCUGGAGGUAUCAGAAGUGCGAAUGCUGACAUGAGUAACGACAAUGGGUGUGAAAAACACCCACGCCGAAAGACCAAGGUUUCCUGCGCAACGUUAAUCGACGCAGGGUUAGUCGGUCCCUAAGGCGAGGCUGAAAAGCGUAGUCGAUGGAAAACAGGUUAAUAUUCCUGUACUUCUGGUUAUUGCGAUGGAGGGACGGAGAAGGCUAGGCCAGCUUGGCGUUGGUUGUCCAAGUUUAAGGUGGUAGGCUGAGAUCUUAGGUAAAUCCGGGAUCUUAAGGCCGAGAGCUGAUGACGAGCUAACUUUUAGUUAGCGAAGUGGUUGAUGCCAUGCUUCCAAGAAAAGCUUCUAAGCUUCAGGUAACCAGGAACCGUACCCCAAACCGACACAGGUGGUUGGGUAGAGAAUACCAAGGCGCUUGAGAGAACUCGGGUGAAGGAACUAGGCAAAAUGGCACCGUAACUUCGGGAGAAGGUGCGCCGGUGAGGGUGAAGGACUUGCUCCGUAAGCUCAUGCCGGUCGAAGAUACCAGGCCGCUGCGACUGUUUAUUAAAAACACAGCACUCUGCAAACACGAAAGUGGACGUAUAGGGUGUGACGCCUGCCCGGUGCCGGAAGGUUAAUUGAUGGGGUUAGCUAACGCGAAGCUCUUGAUCGAAGCCCCGGUAAACGGCGGCCGUAACUAUAACGGUCCUAAGGUAGCGAAAUUCCUUGUCGGGUAAGUUCCGACCUGCACGAAUGGCGUAACGAUGGCGGCGCUGUCUCCACCCGAGACUCAGUGAAAUUGAAAUCGCUGUGAAGAUGCAGUGUAUCCGCGGCUAGACGGAAAGACCCCGUGAACCUUUACUAUAGCUUUGCACUGGACUUUGAAUUUGCUUGUGUAGGAUAGGUGGGAGGCUUUGAAGCGUGGACGCCAGUCUGCGUGGAGCCAACCUUGAAAUACCACCCUGGCAACUUUGAGGUUCUAACUCAGGUCCGUUAUCCGGAUCGAGGACAGUGUAUGGUGGGUAGUUUGACUGGGGCGGUCUCCUCCUAAAGAGUAACGGAGGAGUACGAAGGUGCGCUCAGACCGGUCGGAAAUCGGUCGUAGAGUAUAAAGGCAAAAGCGCGCUUGACUGCGAGACAGACACGUCGAGCAGGUACGAAAGUAGGUCUUAGUGAUCCGGUGGUUCUGUAUGGAAGGGCCAUCGCUCAACGGAUAAAAGGUACUCCGGGGAUAACAGGCUGAUACCGCCCAAGAGUUCAUAUCGACGGCGGUGUUUGGCACCUCGAUGUCGGCUCAUCACAUCCUGGGGCUGAAGCCGGUCCCAAGGGUAUGGCUGUUCGCCAUUUAAAGUGGUACGCGAGCUGGGUUUAGAACGUCGUGAGACAGUUCGGUCCCUAUCUGCCGUGGACGUUUGAGAUUUGAGAGGGGCUGCUCCUAGUACGAGAGGACCGGAGUGGACGAACCUCUGGUGUUCCGGUUGUCACGCCAGUGGCAUUGCCGGGUAGCUAUGUUCGGAAUAGAUAACCGCUGAAAGCAUCUAAGCGGGAAACUAGCCUCAAGAUGAGAUCUCACUGGAACCUUGA